rnacentral:rRNA from 1 species
UACGUAGGUGGCAAGCGUUGUCCGGAUUUACUGGGCGUAAAGAGCGCGCAGGCGGUCGGCCAAGUCGAGUGUGAAAGCCCCCGGCUCAACUGGGGAGGGUCAUUCGAUACUGGUCGACUCGAAGGCAGGAGAGGGAAGCGGAAUUCCCGGUGUAGUGGUGAAAUGCGUAGAUAUCUGGAGGAACACCGGUGGCGAAGGCGGCAUCCUGGACCGGCAUUGACGCUGAGGCGCGAAAGCCAGGGGAGCAAACGGG